AUGUCACUGCUCUGUAUGGGCAGAGUUGGAUAUGUCAGUCAGCAGGCAGAGAUCCUCCUUGAAGUAUCAGGGAGGUUUCUUCAGUAUAUCUCAGCGGGGUCCCCUGACGGGCUGCUGUUUUGGCACGUGACAGGUUGCUCACGCUACUUCCAGAGCUGGCUGGGCCUGGCUGUAAUGGAUGCACAGCAGUUCCUGGCCUCCUCCCACACAGACACCACUUUGGCCCCCUGCUACCUAAACCCUGUGACUUAUGCCCRAAACAGGGCUCGUGGUGGUUGGUGUGAAGGAACAGAGAAGGGAAAGGAUGAGGCAAAACUUCUAAGGAAGAUGUGUGACGAUGAUGUCAGUUGGCAGAUACCUUUUCAGAAGGCAGGAAGUGGGGAAUGACAUGGAACUUUUYUGCAGGGACCAAAGAUGGCUGUAUUUGCAGCUUGAACUUGUAGUGCU
rnacentral:lncRNA from 1 species